AACGAACGCUGGCGGCAGGCUUAACACAUGCAAGUCGAGCGCCCCGCAAGGGGAGCGGCAGACGGGUGAGUAACGCGUGGGAAUCUACCCAUCUCUACGGAAUAACGCAUGGAAACGUGUGCUAAUACCGUAUACGUCCUUCGGGAGAAAGAUUUAUCGGAGAUGGAUGAGCCCGCGUUGGAUUAGCUAGUUGGUGGGGUAAAGGCCUACCAAGGCGACGAUCCAUAGCUGGUCUGAGAGGAUGAUCAGCCACACUGGGACUGAGACACGGCCCAGACUCCUACGGGAGGCAGCAGUGGGGAAUAUUGGACAAUGGGCGCAAGCCUGAUCCAGCCAUGCCGCGUGAGUGAUGAAGGCCCUAGGGUUGUAAAGCUCUUUCACCGGUGAAGAUAAUGACGGUAACCGGAGAAGAAGCCCCGGCUAACUUCGUGCCAGCAGCCGCCGUAACAC
rnacentral:rRNA from 1 species